CCGGACUGACUGCUAUCGGAUUGGUACUAAGCCAUGCGAGUCAUUGUAGCAAUACAAGGCGGACGGCUCAGUAACACGUAGUCAACCUAACUCGUGGACGUGGAUAACCUCGGGAAACUGAGAAUAAACCACGAUAGAUCAUAGUGCCUGGAAUGGCUUAUGGUCCAAACAGUUUACUGCCAUGGGAUGGGACUGCGGCCUAUCAGCUUGUUGGUGAGGUAAUGGCCCACCAAGGCGAUUACAGGUACGGGCUCUGAGAGGAGUAGCCCGGAGAUGGGUACUGAGACACGGACCCAGGCCCUAUGGGGCGCAGCAGACGAGAAACCUUAGCAAUGUGCGAAAGCACGACUGGGUCAGUCCGAGUGAUUCCUGAUAAAGGAGUCUUUUGCCUGUCCUAAAAGCACAGGUGAAUAAGGGGUGGGCAAGUCUGGUGUCAGCCGCCGCGGUAAUACCAGCACCUCGAGUGGUCAGGACGUUUAUUGGGCCUAAAGCAUCCGUAGCCGGCUCUGCAAGUCUUCGGUUAAAUCCACCUGCUCAACAGAUGGGCCGCUGGAGAUACUACAGAGCUAGGGAGUGGGAGAGGCAGACGGUAUUCAGUGGGUAGGGGUAAAAUCCUCUGAUCCAUUGAGGACCACCAGUGGCGAAGGCGGUCUGCCAGAACACGUUCGACGGUGAGGGAUGAAAGCUGGGGGAGCAAACCGGAUUAGAUACCCGGGUAGUCCCAGCUGUAAACGAUGCAAACUCGGUGAUGCAUUGGCUUAUGGCCAAUGCAGUGCCGCAGGGAAGCCGUUAAGUUUGCCGCCUGGGAAGUACGGACGCAAGUCUGAAACUUAAAGGAAUUGGCGGGGGAGCACCACAAGGGGUGAAGCCUGCGGUUCAAUUGGAUUCAACGCCGG
rnacentral:rRNA from 1 species